UUAUUCAUUUGAUUUUAUUUUCCCCCCGUACUUCAGUUUCCCCUCUUCCUUCCCGCGUAGACGACCACCACUCCGUCGCUCCUCCUCCACUUCACGCCUCCGUGCUCCUCCACUCCUCCUCCUCCUCCCCCGUCUUCUUCUUCCUCUCUCCUUGAACGACUCCAAUGGACCUCGACGUAUCAUUUGUCCUCAUAUCUCUAGGUUUUCAAUCUUCUUCCCGUUAAGGACGCCAGUGUACGUGCGUACGUCCUCUAGAAGUUCUUGUCUGGCAGUUCUACAAAGGUUUGGUGUGAGUAGUUUGUUGCUUCUCCUUCCCCGUUACCCAUUCAUAAUAGGCAAGGUCGUUGAUGCUGGGUUGGUCUAUAGUUGUCAACCCUUUACAUCUAAUUUCAGUAGGGCACAUGAAAUGAUGAGCUCAAAUUCAAGCUUCCAGAAAGGCACCGGAGAGUAGUAUAUGCCAUUUGUGCAGAAAGGCAGUGGCUUGCAGCAGCUUAUCCUAGUCGUUCAUGGUGAAAAUCUGGUGGUCAUGCAUCAUUCAAGUGCUUGAUUUGGUUCAUGUUGGAAGAAACGAUCUUAUUUCUGUUCUAAAAGGGAAGUAUAAAAGUGAUCGUGGAACGGGAAUUCGACUUCCUUCAACCUAGUUUCCAACUUUCCAAGGAGCCGAGGACAAUGCACGUCAUGAUACAGUAUCAAAGGGCGGUCAGUAAAGCUUUGCUGGACAGGAUUACUGAUGAAAAGGCAUCUAGCGUAACCUCUGUCUUGAUGGUCGUUGGAGCUGGAUGGGGGCCUCUUGUCAGAGCAUCUUUAGAGCCCUUCAGCCCCUUCCGCCUCCUUGCAUAAGUGUAUAGCAGUGGUGGUCCCCCUUGAUGUGUUGCACUCUCUUUGGCCCUUUUCUUGUGUAUGUUACCGUUUUCGGAGGGCGCCGCCAAUCCAUUACACAAAAGAGCAGCUUCAAUAGGGCAGUUUGCUUUAAUGACUUCAGAGCUGCAUCCACCAUGUGAAGUGGUUUCUCAUUUUUGCAAGUGCAUUGUGAAACAUCUUUGUAUGACAAAGGAAUUCCUUUCAAAUUUUCAGUUCACUCUUGGCCAAGGUAGAGGAAAUAUGUAAGAAGAUAUUGAUGAUGUUAGAGAAAGAUGGUGCCCUGCUUUCCAUUUGAGUACUUAGUGUUUAUUUGAGUAGUUAGUUGAAAAAUUAGAUAUCACCGUGUACCAAUGUACCAUUAAUACUUGAAAUUGCAUGAUACUCAUUUUACACAAUUGAUUGGUUUAUAAGUAAUUUUUUGAGAUGUAUAUUUUGUGUGAUUAUAGGUCAUCUAAAUGAAUAGGGUGAUUGCAGGAAACGGGACCAAAAAAAGGUUGGGGGUAUUUGUACCUCUUUUGUUA